rnacentral:rRNA from 1 species
UACGUAGGGGGCGAGCGUUGUCCGGAAUUAUUGGGCGUAAAGAGCGUGUAGGCGGUUCGGUAAGUCUGCCGUGAAAACCUGGGGCUCAACCCCGGGCGUGCGGUGGAUACUGCCGGGCUAGAGGGUGGUAGAGGCGAGUGGAAUUCCUGGUGUAGCGGUGAAAUGCGCAGAUAUCAGGAGGAACACCAAUUGCGAAGGCAGCUCGCUGGGACGUAACUGACGCUGAGACGCGAAAGCGUGGGGAGCAAACAGG